AAAAAUGCGGUGAAAAGAAGAGUACAAUUUUUUUGGUUUUUAGAGAGUCUCGUUUUGGUGAAAAGAGAUAGCUGAACUAAUUGGAAGAUGGUCUUGAAGCAUUUGGAUGUGAGCACAGCAAGCAUUCAACGGUCGUUGCUCGUUAGCGCAACACAGUAUGAUGGUACUGGUAGAGGUUGAGUUCGUAAGGAUUCGACGAACAAAGGUGGUCACACGAAGCAUAACGCUCUCGUCCUUUUU
rnacentral:ncRNA from 1 species